rnacentral:rRNA from 1 species
UACAGAGGGGGCAAGCGUUGUUCGGAAUUACUGGGCGUAAAGGGCGCGUAGGCGGCCUUCUAAGUCGAACGUGAAAUCCCUGGGCUCAACCCAGGAACUGCGUCCGAUACUGGAAGGCUUGAAUCCGGGAGAGGGAUGCGGAAUUCCAGGUGUAGCGGUGAAAUGCGUAGAUAUCGGGAGGAACACCAAUGGCGAAGGCAGCUCGCUGGGACGUUACUGACGCUGAGACGCGAAAGCGUGGGGAGCAAACAGG